UGACACUGCCUCUGAGCUCUGGCAAUCUUGUCAAACCCACUUCACUCUACCGUCAAGCACUUUCUCCCACCUUUUCUUCCAGCUCACAGCCUCCUGCCCCAAGCCUGAAGGAAGUUUAUGGAAUAUGCUUCCAGGCGAUUCCACUACUACACGAAGUAGAUAAGCUAGCAACUCUAAGUGGGCAGGAAAUACGCCAGAUGCCUUCUCUUUUUCUUCUCAGCCCUUUCUUGGGAAGGGGGAUCUAUGUAGUCAGGGCCAAACCCUUACCCUGCCUCUCCGUAACCCCUACCCCUUGGCUUCCACUUCGGUCUUAACCAGCCUUAAAACACGCUGGGCCUCUUCGAAACUCCCGACGGAGGUGUGGGAAAACAGGAAGCACCUUUACAUCAUUACACUGAGCGGGGUCACCCACCCCAGCAUCAACCGAGCGGGCCACUGGGCAGAGGACGGCUCGGCCAGCGGGAGGGGCGGGGGGGACAAGGAGGCCGCGCGGGGCGUCGGGGCCGGUGCGUUCGCUCCUCCCUGCGACACCCGCGGGGAGAAGGCCGCCCGAGUGGAGGAAAGAGGUGGCGGGCGAGCGGGCGAGUCCUUCCCUGCAAGGCUGGCUCAUCAGUGGGGACUCCGCCCGUACCGCCCGCCUCGCCGGAGCCCAGGGCCAGCGUCAGCCUUGAAGGUUUCAGAUUUUAUUUAAUCUAGAAGGGAUUUUUUUUUUUUUUUUUAACAUUCAUUCAAAAAGCGUCGUUGGUUGCCUGCCCCGUGCCAGGCACUGUGCAAGGUUUGGGAAUGCACAGCUGAAUGAAACAAAUCUUUGCCUUCGAGGAGCUUAUAGUCUAUUGGGGAAACUGACCAGAAACAGAUAACUAUAAAAUAAAGACACAAGUGCAAGGAAAGAGCUCACGUCUUAACUCAGGCAAAGCAUUCUGUGAUGGGAACAAAGACUGUCCCCUCGAGCAGUAACCGCUGCCCUGAGCCAGCAAGACCCCACGUGACCGACCUCAAGACACUGAUCAACCUGACCUUUCCUGCCCACCUGCAUGUGCCCAUCAACUUUUGUCCCACAUUUGCCUUCUAUAAACUUAGAAGUAUUUUCAGCACUUUGGAGAUAGUCUUUGAGACAUUAGUCUGCUGUCUUCCUGGUGCUGGCCUCACUGAAAU